GUUAAGCGACUAAGCGUACACGGUGGAUGCCCUGGCAGUCAGAGGCGAUGAAGGACGUGCUAAUCUGCGAAAAGCGCCGGCGAGGUGAUAUGAACCCUUGACCCGGCGAUGUCCGAAUGGGGAAACCCAGUGCAAUCCGUUGCACUAUCGUUAACUGAAUACAUAGGUUAACGAGGCGAACCGGGGGAACUGAAACAUCUAAGUACCCCGAGGAAAAGAAAUCAACCGAGAUUCCCCCAGUAGCGGCGAGCGAACGGGGAGCAGCCCGGAGUCUGAAUCAGCUUGUGUGUUAGUGGAACGGUCUGGAAAGUCCGACGGUACAGGGUGAUAGUCCCGUACACGAAAGCACACUUGCUGUGAACUCGAAGAGUAGGGCGGGACACGUGGUAUCCUGUCUGAAUAUGGGGGGACCAUCCUCCAAGGCUAAAUACUCCUGACUGACCGAUAGUGAACCAGUACCGUGAGGGAAAGGCGAAAAGAACCCCGGCGAGGGGAGUGAAAAAGAACCUGAAACCGUGUACGUACAAGCAGUGGGAGCCUCUUUAUGGGGUGACUGCGUACCUUUUGUAUAAUGGGUCAGCGACUUAUAUUCUGUAGCAAGGUUAACCGUAUAGGGGAGCCGAAGGGAAACCGAGUCUUAACUGGGCGUUAAGUUGCAGGGUAUAGACCCGAAACCCGGUGAUCUAGCCAUGGGCAGGUUGAAGGUUGGGUAACACUAACUGGAGGACCGAACCGACUAAUGUUGAAAAAUUAGCGGAUGACCUGUGGCUGGGGGUGAAAGGCCAAUCAAACCGGGAGAUAGCUGGUUCUCCCCGAAAGCUAUUUAGGUAGCGCCUCGUGAACUCAUCUUCGGGGGUAGAGCACUGUUUCGGCUAGGGGGCCAUCCCGGCUUACCAACCCGAUGCAAACUACGAAUACCGAAGAAUGUUAUCACGGGAGACACACGGCGGGUGCUAACGUCCGUCGUGAAGAGGGAAACAACCCAGACCGCCAGCUAAGGUCCCAAAGUCAUGGUUAAGUGGGAAACGAUGUGGGAAGGCACAGACAGCCAGGAUGUUGGCUUAGAAGCAGCCAUCAUUUAAAGAAAGCGUAAUAGCUCACUGGUCGAGUCGGCCUGCGCGGAAGAUGUAACGGGGCUAAACCAUG
rnacentral:rRNA from 1 species